AUGUAUGAGAGCAUCAGCAAGUAUGAUGACAGUGACAGAAAUGAAGAGGUGGGCCAGGCGAAAGUCGGAAGCUGAGAGAUAGCCAUGCUCAGCUACGCUUGUCAAGGAAACGAGUAGAGCUUUUUCACGCUGUUUUCUUCCAACUUUGUACUCAACAGAUGCUUUGAAAUUAACAAAUACAAACUUUACCCCUGGAUCCAUCAGUUCAGCAAUAGCCGGAGGUCAGCUGACCAGAUCCGACCCAUCUUCUUCCCUGACGUGGACCCGCACGGCCUUCCUCCUGGGUCCAACUUUUCCAUGACUGCAGGAGAUUUUCAGGAGAUCUAUUCAGAAUGCAAUACUUGGGACUGCACUGCUACCUGUUUCUUCAUCGACACAGCUCACAAUGUGAUUGAUUAUAUCGAUACAAUAUGGAAAAUACUCAAGCCAGGUGGAAUUUGGAUAAAUUUAGGACCUCUUUUGUACCACUUUGAAAAUUUGGCAAAUGAGCUUUCCAUAGAAUUGAGCUAUGAGGACAUAAAAAACGUUGCUCUGCAGUAUGGAUUCCAAGUAGAGGUGGAAAAGGAAUCUGUCUUGUCAACAUAUACUGUGAAUGAUCUCUCGAUGAUGAAAUACUACUAUGAGUGUGUCCUGUUUGUGGUCCGUAAGCCACAAUAAUGGUCUGCAGUGACAUUGCCCAGUAAAAAGUCUAGUAAGAAAAAUACUGAAAUAAACAGCUGAAAAUCAACAAUCUGUGAUGACAGGACACAACCUCAAAA